GACGAACGCUGGCGGCGUGCUUAACACAUGCAAGUCGAACGGAAAGGCCCUGCUUUUGUGGGGUGCUCGAGUGGCGAACGGGUGAGUAACACGUGAGUAACCUGCCCUUGACUUUGGGAUAACUUCAGGAAACUGGGGCUAAUACCGGAUAGGAGCUCCUGCUGCAUGGUGGGGGUUGGAAAGUUUCGGCGGUUGGGGAUGGACUCGCGGCUUAUCAGCUUGUUGGUGGGGUAGUGGCUUACCAAGGCUUUGACGGGUAGCCGGCCUGAGAGGGUGAACGGCCACAUUGGGACUGAGAUACGGACCAGACUCCUACGGGAGGCAGCAGUGGGGAAUAUUGCACAAUGGGCGGAAGCCUGAUGCAGCAACGCCGCGUGCGGGAUGACGGCCUUCGGGUUGUAAACCGCUUUCGCCCGUGACGAAGCGUGAGUGACGGUAAUGGGUAAAGAAGCACCGGCUAACUACGUG
rnacentral:rRNA from 1 species